GGGACUAUACUAAGGUUAGAAGGUGAUACACCAUUCACUGCAUCAUUUUGAGAAUCAUUUGCUUCACUUGCUACUACAACUCCUGUAGAAAGUCCAGUUUGAGAAUCAGACACUACGCAUGAAGUACGAAUAUCCACCAUUUUGCUUUGUGAUUCUUCAGUUAACAAUUUACUGAUUGAGGAGCUAAGAUCCUUGUUCUCCUUGGGGGAUUUUCCAGAGGACUCUGCAUCAAUUGGAUCAACAGGUAUAUGAUCUGGUUCCUUGUCAUUAACAUUGUAACAAAAUUCAUUCUUAACAGGGUCAGCACAAUCAACAGUCAUAAUUUCAUGUUUCUCAGCUUGUUCAGAUAUGCCUUCUUCCAUAUCAACAUCAGUAUCCUCAGGACCCUGUCCCAUGGUACACCUACUUUCAUCAACAAUAUUGCAAUCUCCAGCACUUGCUGGUGGCAAUCCUACUUC
rnacentral:lncRNA from 1 species